rnacentral:tRNA from 1 species
GGAAAGAUGCCAGAGUGGUUGAAUGGAACAGUCUCGAAAACUGUCUUAGUCGCAAGGCUAACGAGGGUUCGAAUCCCUCUCUUUCCG